AUACUGUUGGUUCCUCUGUUAAAGGUUAAUUUGCUGAUACAGUAAAUUAAUUAAUUCAACAAGGAGUGAUCUUGUACAAACAUGCAUAGACAUGCUAAUUAUGUGGCAGCUCAUGAUUGGAAGUGGUUCUUUAAUUUUCAGAGCUAUUUCCAAUCACAUUUUUCCUUGUCAGCAUGCACGUAAACCACUUAUGAAAGUUGUGGGUGACGCAUAAUUGCUCAACAAAUAUAAAGGAUAAAGCUAAAGAACGCUCAAAAGAAGCGUGGUCGCCAACAGCGAAGAACGCAUGCAAACCGUCCAACAUGCACGUCGACGUUGAGAGUGUAGUUUAUUCAUCAAUUCGCUCGUAUACAUCGGAAGCACACUAAGACUGAAAAAAGUUUUCGAUUUGACUUGAUUAGAUGUGCCAGAACAGAAAGAAGAAAAGAAAGCAGACUUUACCUUGUGGUUGAGUGGGUGUGGCCACUGGCCAAUGUGAAAUCUUGCGACUUUGUGAGUGGUGGCCACUCGGUUAAAAGGUGCAGGGAAACCAUAUCUAGGUCUCUCUUGAUUUCCUAGGAGCAACUUUGUUCUUGCCAGCAACCAUGAGAGCUUUUGUUUGGUUUUUUUUUUUUGUUUCUUCUUAAGCCUCUCUUUCCAUUGAUCACUUUUGGUUACUAUACUUUCAUUUCUCCCAUAAAGCAAUCUCA
rnacentral:lncRNA from 1 species